GCUCAACUAUCAAAUAAUGAUUGAAUUUUGCCUACUUAAAAGGGGGAAAAAAGACGUUUACUGUCUUCUCUUAAUUCAACACACUUCCACUGUAGUGUUCGAGUAGAUAUUGUUACUUUCUCUCGAACCAUAGUAAUAUUAUUUGAUUUGAUUGAAUCAUUUAUUUCUCUUGUUUCUCUUGAAAUUUCUUCAGUGUUUAUUUCUACACGUGUUUUUUUUUUCGGGGGUCUGCAACCAUUAUGUGGCAUAGGGGUUACAUCCCGUACGAAAGUUAAUAGUAUACCACUUCUACGAAUAGCUCAUAAUGCUGCGUCUCUUCCGAGAUCGGGACCUUUUAUCAUGACUUUUGCUCGUUGCAUACCUUGAUCUACUACUGUACGAACAGCAUUUGCUGCUGCAGUUUGAGUGGCAAAGGGUGUCCCUCUUCUCGUACCCUUGAAUCCACAAGUACCCGUUGAAGAUCAAGAAACCACCCGACCCCGUACAUAUAUAAAUAAAUUAUUUAUAAGAAUAUAAGAAAUUAAUAACUAUUCACCAAAAAUUUGUGAAAAGUGAAUUUGAUUUUGACCUACCAAAACUCGAUAAUAUAAUUUAUUUAUAUUUUUCUUCUAUA
rnacentral:lncRNA from 1 species